UGAUAGGUGGCUCAACAGGUCUGAGCCACUAUAUGACAGCUUCUUACCUUCCUAUGCAAGCCAUGGGGAAGGUCCAUAGUUCAGACUUGGAUCACCUGCAUGCAGAAGGUCCCAGGUUCAAUCCCUGGCUUGUCCA